UAAGAAUUUUACGAUCAGUUCUUAAGAUUUGUUAUCAGAAUCUGAUAUGAGGAAGUAAAUAGUGUAUAUGAUUAGAAUCAUAUAUUUUUAGUUGGCAGAUAAGAGUUUACAUGUUCACUUAAGGCAAUGCUGAUGAAGCAUUUCAGUUUUGACCAAUGAGCAUUGAGCCUGAAGCAGCCAAUGAAAGUUGACCUUUUAUCCAUUUUAUAUGCAUGCUCCUAAAUAAUUUUGUAUAAGAUGCAAAGCCAUGAGAACUGAUUAUUAAAUAAUUGUUACCAUGUUUUGUUUGGAUAUCUAGCUACUAUGUGAAGUUGCAUGUAAAACAACUAAAACAAUAUGUAUUUCAAUUUGUUUUCUAUCACAUACUAAGAGUACUGUAAUCGUAGUUAUUUUCGCGUGGGAUUGAUUUUCGCGCUUUUAGCACAAAAUGAUUGUGCGUCAUUAUUCAUACCAAGCGAAAUAUUCAUGGUCAAGUCAUGACAAAAUUCAGACAAAUACACAAGUAGGAACAACAUGCAAUUUGUUUAAUGCAGCCAAUCAGUGAUUUGACCAUGUGAACCACACGUGUUCAUAAACAACAAACACUACUUUAUGAUUUCUAUGUUUAAUUAUUGUAAGUACUGGUAUACACUCUUCCUUAAUUUGUUAUCAGUUAAUCUCACAUAUGGGACCGGUGUUGUCAUGUUGACACAAGUAUAAUCCCCUCUCUCUCUGAUUGUUUUAGUAAACACGAUUCAAUUAUGGCGGCUAGCUUUGAUCAUUGCGGAUAUUGGUUGUGAAAACUUUGUGAUGGAUACCAUCACUCAGGUGUUUGAAAUGCGCGAAAAAACUACUGCGCUAACAGGUCUUUGGUGAACUUUCCUCGAAAAUUGCACCCCGUGAAAAUAUAUACGAUUACAGUAUAUCAUGAAUGUCUUUAUUGAUUGUAUUAUAUGUGGGAAUUUUUCUCCACUUUUUUGUUAAGGCUAUGGUUUGACAUUAGUGUCCUGCUGCAUGUGAAAGCUGAAGACUAAGUCAUCCAAGGCCGGGUUAUAUUUAUGUAUAUGAGAAAUACGCACCUUGGUGUAUUUUUUAAGCAAGUUUUCACAUUGUUUUCACAAUGUAAUAUGAAUUUAAAACUAUUCUGAUGUCUUUGAAAUUCAAAUUUGUAAAUGACAGAUAUUUUUAGAAUUUUUUCAGACAGUUCAUGUCCUUGAAGUGUGUUAGAUGUUUAAAUGCUUGGAAAUGUAGAGAAUAUUGGGCAUUGGUUUGUAUCCCAUGUUUGUACGAUACAAAUCUCUGGAACUGAGGAAUACCAUGGAUAAGUGGGGGUUCCUGUGUUUCUUGGUGGGUCUUGAAAGACUUGCUGGCAUGAAACACUGUUGUCAUCUUGUGGAACCCAUUUGCAAAACAUAACCAUAAUACCUUGGCAGGUAUGGAAAUACAAUGUACAUCUUUGUCUGAUUGCCAAGCAGACACCCUCUUUAGGUACAAAUAUCUAAAUAUGAGACACACACUUACUGGUCAAAUAAAACAACUAGAGCCACCCCUGAUGUUUUUUGUGUAUAAGGCUGAAGGGGUGCUAGACAAGGCAUCAGGCCAUUUCACUCCCACGUCCAGCAUAUUCCAUGCUGGUUGAUGUUAAUCACAGGAAACCCCCAAACAAUUGAUGUGCUCUAGUGCUGUAGACUGAAGAAGGAAAGUUAUAUGGUACAACAAGCAUGGUAACAUUUGUCAGCUGUUAAUGUCACAUUUUUAAUGAAAGGUGUAUGUUGGACACAUAUUGAUGGUACUGACAUCAAUCACUGGAGUAAUACCACUCAGAAUAUAACAACACAUGCCCAUGACUGGAUAAAUAUCAUCAAGGACCGUCCUUAACUUAUUUUGAGUAGUAUACAAUCAACCUCCGAGAUGUAUGUUGUGCCUGUUUCAGGUUUGUUCAAAUACAUUUCUUGUUUCUCCUGACUUUUAAAUUGGCCUUGCUUCUGAUAUUUUUUAUUUAAGAAAAGAUAAGAAAUGAUUUUUUUAAUUUAAACUUUGUUUUACCCCAGAUUCCAAAUCAACAUGAAUAAAAUGGACCAGGUUGUGAGGGAAGCUUGGACUUUAUGCCAGUGUAGCUUCCUGCUGGGAUUACAGGGUAGAAGGGUCCAGUAUAUGCUGCUCGAGGCAACCAAACGAAUUGGGUGGUCAGGAGCAGUAACUUGGAUUACAUGGUGUCAUACCCCAACAGCAUGGAUCAUUGCUAUUGAUACCUAUCACUGGAUUGUCAGGUCCAGAUUCAAUAAUUCACAAGCAUUCACAUGGCAUUAAUAAACAAAGCAAAUUAUUUUUGUUGCAAGAGGGGAUGUGUUCAAGAGAGGUUUCAUAGAUGUGUAGCCUUAUAAGAAUACAAACAUGAAACAUAAACUCAUCCAUCCCAACUUGGUCCGUUUUGAAAAAGUCACGAGAAACAAGAAACAAAGCAAAAUAUUUUUGUAGCAGCAGGGGACGUGGUCAAGAGAGGUUUCAUAGAUGUGUAGCCUUAUAAGAAUUCAAACAUGAAACAUAAACUCAUCCAUCCCAACUUGGUCCGUUUUGCAAAAGUCACGAGAAACAAGAAUAAUGUUUUUAGGGGAGUCAAUCCAUGCCAGACUCUACAUCAAAGGUUAGUUAAACGCAAGUAGGCUGUGUGUUUCAUUGGUUGGUUUAUUGUUCUGGAGACUAGGACUACCCAGGCUUCUAGUUGUUUUCAUAAUACUUGCAUGAUUAUGUCACCGUUGCAAGGAGGCAUGACAGUCUGCAGCACUUCAGUCCAUACUUCUAUGUGUGAAUAUUUUUGCCGUCCGAGGUGCUGCUCGCCCCAGUGUAGGAAUACAUGUGCUGUAUUACCAUGGCUAUCUACUCAAAUGCAGGUAUAUUGAAAUUGGCAGUGAAAUAAUUUGGACACCUGAAAUUGGCAUGUCAUAUUUUUAUAAAUAUUUGUUAUGAAUGUCCUUUCUGAGCGUGCAUUUGACCUGUAAGUGCCAGACCAUUUGGUAACUGGUGGUGCCAGGAAAUGGUUGGCACUUGCAUGUUGAAUGUGAUGUAAGUUAUUUAAAAUUUGGAGAAAAAUAAUUGUGUUCCUUUGAGGUUUAAAGGACAUAACCUUGUGGAAUUCUUGCUCAAAUGUGUAACUGUCAUGGUAGCUGAGCUGUAACACAAUUUACACCAAAUAAAAUGUAAAAUAUC
rnacentral:lncRNA from 1 species